GACGAACGCUGGCGGCGUGCUUAACACAUGCAAGUCGAACGGAAAGGCCCUGCUUUUGUGGGGUGCUCGAGUGGCGAACGGGUGAGUAACACGUGAGUAACCUGCCCUUGACUUUGGGAUAACUUCAGGAAACUGGGGCUAAUACCGGAUAGGAGCUCCUGCUGCAUGGUGGGGGUUGGAAAGUUUCGGCGGUUGGGGAUGGACUCGCGGCUUAUCAGCUUGUUGGUGGGGUAGUGGCUUACCAAGGCUUUGACGGGUAGCCGGCCUGAGAGGGUGACCGGCCACAUUGGGACUGAGAUACGGCCCAGACUCCUACGGGGGGCAACAGUGGGGAAUAUUGCACAAUGGGAGGAAGCCAGAUGCGGAAACGCCGCGUGCGGGAUGACGGCCUUCGGGUUGUAAACCGCUUUAGCCUGUGACGAAGCGUGAGUGACGGUAAUGGGUAAAGAAGCACCGGCUAACUACGUG
rnacentral:rRNA from 1 species